CAGGGCCGGCCCCCAUCAUUGCUUCUUAAUUUUUUAGCUGGAGUACCUCUAUAAAGAAAAACUUUUCCCCUCAUCAAUGAUUAGAUUUCUCUGAAAUGCAAUCAGAAUGGGAAAGGCAGGGCAAAUAAGUCAAGAGUAUGAAAAGAGGGAAGAAGCUGUCCACUGAAAACCAGCACCCUGUUAUCAGAAGGGAGAAAGAUGUUGGACAGGUGAAAUUAGCAGAUGUCCACUCUGCCAGGAGAGGGAAUUAUUUGGUCCAAGGACUAUCUCUAUGGCUAUUAGAACAAGGAUGUUCGUUAAAUAAGUCAUUGAACAUAUGAGUCACAUAGCCAGCACAUUUUUCAAAAAUUCCAUUUUUCUAAGCAACUGUAAAAUAAUGAUUUGGUUUUCUAUAUUAAUCUGCCUCCUGAAUUUUCAGUUAUACUUGUCUUGCAAAUGAACAACUUCAUUUAGGAGUCUUUUGAAUGUGAUUAGUGGGAGCCAGCCUUCUCAAGUCAAAUCUGCUCUAGGUGUUUAAUACCAGGCAGAGUAAGGACUAGAUUCUAAACUGUGGUGAAUUCUUCGAAGUCAUACCAUCCUGGAAGGCUCUUUUGCUAAUGGUAAGCCUCUGUCUUUCCACUUAGCUCCUUCAACCUUCAGUAGUGUUAGAAUGGUGUAUUUCCUGAUAUAAAUGGAUAAACUGGCUUUUUGAUUAACAAAUGAGAUUCUGCUGUGAACUUGUAACUCUCAGGGCGGGUUAGUUCUCUAGAGUCUAAACAUUUCUGAGUGACUGAUAAAAUAUAAUUUGGAGGCCAUCCAAACCAGGACCUUAUUCCAUUCAGUAAUAUAUUAUUUUGAGAACUUCCUGAGUGUGGCUGGCUGGCUUCUCUUCUUCAUAUCUAAAAAAACAAAACAAACAAAAAAUGUAUAGUUUUAUUAUGCUUACAGGAUAGGUAUAAACAAGAAAUACAAAAUGUAAUGAAAUUUAGUGAAACUUUUUGCAAGAUCACCCAAGAACUCAAGGUUGCCAAAUACAGUGGUCACUUCCCUCAGCCUCUUAGCAGCUUUCCACACAGGGGAUCUCUUUCUUGAAAGACUUCCUUCAUGGGGCUUCCAGGAUAUUCGACUCUCCUGAUUUCCCUUCUCCUUGAAAGACUGUUGGCUUUCACUUGCCUCGGUGGGAUUGUCCUCAUCUUCCUGACCUCUAGAUUUUGGGGUUCCCAAGGCCCAGUCCUCAUCCUUCUUUUAUUCUGUCUAUGUUCAUUCUCUUGAUGACUUAAUUCAGUCUCUUAACUUUAGAUCCCACCUAUAUGGUUCGCAAAUUCAUGUUUCCAGUUCUGAUCUCGUCUCUGUACUCCAGGCUUUUGUAUGCAACUGUUGCCUUGACAUCUCCACUUGGCUAUGUAAUAGACAUCUCAAUUUUAACAUGUCAUAAAUUAAAUUCUUGAUUUCUACUUUAUCGUCACCCGCUCUCCCCAAAAGCAAAGUGAACAAUAGAAGCUACUCCUAGUGCAGUGGGGGUUGUGAGUACACUUUCAUUGACUAGCUCUGUAACUAUGAGGCAAGUUAUUAGUGAAGAUUAAAUGAAUUAAUAUAUGUAAAGCAUUUGGAAGAGUGCCUGGUACCUACUAAGAAUCAUUUAAGGGUUAACUGUUAGUAUUAUUAUUAUUGUUAUUAUUGUGUUGUCGUUGUUAUCAUCGUGGUAAAUGACCUCUCCGUUCAGCUGCUUGCUCAGGCCAAGUACUCUGGAGUCAUCCUUGAUUCUUCUCUCUCAUACCCUGUGUAAAAUUCAUCAGCAAUUUCUGUUGGCUCUACUUUCAAGUGUGUUCUGAAUCCUGUCACUUUCCACCACUUCCGUGGCUACAACCAAGUCCAAGCCAUCAUCUCCUGCCUGGAAAAUGACAAGAGCCUCCCCACUGAUCUACCUGUUUCUGCUCUUGCCUGUGUGAGGGUUAAUUUUAUGUGUCAACCUGAUUGGGCCGUGAGUGCCUGGAUAUUUAGUCAAACAUUAUUCCGGGUGUGUCUGUGAGGGUGUUUUUGGGUGAGAUUAACAUUUGAACUGGUAGAUUGAAUAAAAGAGAUUGUCCUCCCUGUUGUGGGUGGUCCUCAGCCAGUCAACUGAAGACCUGAAUAGAACAAAAAGGUAGACCCUCCAGUGAGUAAGAGAGAUCUUCUCCUGCUGAUUGCCUUGACCUGGGACAUCUUUCUUUCCUGCUUUUGGAUUUGAACUGAAAUAUCAGGUCUUUUUGGGUUUCGAGCCUGCCAGCUUUUGGACUAGAACUUUUACUGUCAGCUUUUGUGGUUCUCCUGACCUUCGGACAGAAACUGGAACUGUACCAUCUUCUCUCCUGGGUCUCCAUCCAGCUUGCUGACUGCAGAUCUUGAGACUGCUCGGCCUCCAUAAUCGUAGAGUAGACAAGCUAAGAGAAGAUGAGGGGAGAGGAAAAAAAAUAGUUCUGUUCAUUAUGCACUGAUCAUGUGCAGAGAGUUGCUGCACACUUUACUCUAGGAGGUGAGGAACCACGCGUGCUGUGCUCACCGGUCCAUCCUCAGGGUCUGGCAUGCUGCCUGCGACACGAUGCGGGCUGACCAUGAUUUGUCGAGAUCUUGAACACACAUCCCUGCUGCAAGGCUGCAUAGAAAUGGCUGGUGAAUGGGGCUGUUCUCCCUGCCCUGGGGAGUGUGUUUGUGGAGCAGCCCUGUUUGUGUCCAUGCAAAAGAAAAGCUUGACUAAACCUGCAUUGCUUUCCUUUGUUUUAUCCCACCCCUCUAUUCUCAGUGACUUUGGGAAAGCCUAGCAGAAUUUUUAUUUUCCAACAAUCAGGUUUUCACCUUGCAGGUUUGGUCCCUCUUGUGAAGGCUAGGGGAGAGGCAUCAGGGGCAGCACCUGGAAAACUGCUUAUUCUAGAAGGGAUGCAUCUGGAAUGUCUCCCUGUGUCAAGUGUUGUUACUGUAGUUGCUUGGACACUGCAAAGCAUUAUUCUUUUGGAGGCAGUGUUUGGGUUAAAUUACAGACCUACUCCCACGGAUAACAGUUCCAUGAGAAGAAAAUGUGUUUCAUAUCUUAAAAUUUCAAUUUUUACUUUUGAGACAAACUCGGGCUGGUUUUUAUUUGGCAUUUAAUGCUGUUUGUUUUAUCCACAACACUCCUUCCCAUUAGCAGAAUUAAUCAAGGGUUGAUUACACCUCCUCUACAAAGCCACUCAGGUUUUCAGUUGCUCUGUCUUCAUUGUUUCGCAUGCCUGUGACACAGCUCAUGAUCAAUCACUCACUUGAAACGUUUUGAACAACAGGGCUGCUGCCUUUCUGACCCUGGAAAGCCUGCAGAAGGCCACCAUCCUUUCAGCAUGCAGGAAGAGGUCCAUCACAGUAGCCUCAGGGUCUCCUAACUCCGAGAUAAACCCACAAACGUCAGCACCUGACCCGGGAGAAGUUUUCUUCGUUGAUGUGAUGUCCAUCCAGUUUGCUGUAAAGGGUUGUUGGUGUUGGGGCACACUACUCCUUGUAGGUGAACAUUCAGGGGUCCAGGCUGACAGUAGCUCUGUUGGCAUCAACACAAAGCUUUCAGGGUCACCGGAUGUUGACUUUCAGCUCAUAAAGGAAGAGAACGGAAAUCACUUAUGAGAGGGUUUUAUGGACCAGGUAUGGAAAUAUCUCAUAGGACUUCUGCUCACAUUCCGUUGGCUGGAACAUGGGUAUACCUGACUGUGAGGAAAGCUGGGAAAUGUGGUCCAGCUUUAAAGCCAGAAAGAAGUAGCACAAAUCUUGGUGAGGACACUGAAUUCUCUGCCUUAGUCCCUAAGCGAAUGUUAAUGACCGAGGCUUUGCACACGAGCUGUGUGACUUUUGCCUCAGGGCCCAUUUCACAUUUCUCAUAAUAGGCAUAAAAUCAAAAUGAAAUAUACAAAGUAUAUAAAGGUGCCAUGUUAGUUGUCAACUAGCAAGCACUUUACAUGUCUACAAGAAUAUAAUAAACACCUGGAUAGACCUUUCCCAGAUUUAUGUAUAUUAACGUUAUACCACAUUUGUGACUCAGAUUUGUUUUAAGAUAUGAAACAUUAUGUUGUUUGAGGGUCCCUAAGUUUUUCCCUCCAAUUCCGUUUCUCUUUCUGUUUCGUCACUAUCAUGAACUCAGUGUUUAUUAAUCUUAUGCACUGGCAUCACUUAGAAUUCAGUGCCACUCGCUUUACUGACCAGUUUACAAUCAUAGUCAGCCAAAUCUCUUGUGAGAUGAAAGGCAUGGCUUUCUGGUUAAACCA